rnacentral:lncRNA from 1 species
UGUGUUCGGCAACAAAAGAUGUAAUUCAAUCUAUCUGUUCGUUUCUCGAAAGACAUGUCGAACAGACAUCGCGUUGCAAUGAUGAAAGGACCUCAAGAUGUUGUAGAGGAACGGAUGAGCUUUCGAAUGCUUCACCUCGUUCUGUUUAUUGUAUAGGUGUUAACUGGUAAAUGCUUUCACUCCCCUAUUUUUAUUGUAGCUAGGGUUGGGAGAACUAUCCUUUUCAGAAAGCAUUUGGAUCCUUCACCUGGCUAGCCAUUGCUAUAUAUUUAGACCUCACCUCGAGCUCACUGUGCUCGGUCCCGUCCGUGGCGCUCU